rnacentral:rRNA from 1 species
UACGGAGGGGGCAAGCGUUAUUCGGAAUCAUUGGGCGUAAAGGGCGUGUAGGCGGCUUCGUUUGUCUUGUGUGAAAGCCCUCGGCUCAACCGGGGAAUUGCAUGGGAAACUGCGGAGCUUGAGUCCGGGAGAGGAGAGUGGAAUUCCCAGUGUAGCGGUGAAAUGCGUAGAUAUUGGGAGGAACACCAGUGGCGAAGGCGGCUCUCUGGACCGGUACUGACGCUGAGACGCGAAAGCCAGGGGAGCAAACGGG